ACGAACGCUGGCGGCGCGCCUAACACAUGCAAGUCGAACGGAGCUGAGAGGAGCUUGCUUUUCUUAGCUUAGUGGCGAACGGGUGAGUAACGCGUGAGUAACCUGCCCUGGAGUGGGGGACAACAGUUGGAAACGACUGCUAAUACCGCAUAAGCCCACGGCCCGGCAUCGGGCUGCGGGAAAAGGAUUUAUUCGCUUCAGGAUGGACUCGCGUCCAAUUAGCUAGUUGGUGAGGUAACGGCCCACCAAGGCGACGAUUGGUAGCCGGACUGAGAGGUUGAACGGCCACAUUGGGACUGAGACACGGCCCAGACUCCUACGGGAGGCAGCAGUGGGGGAUAUUGCACAAUGGGGGAAACCCUGAUGCAGCGACGCCGCGUGGAGGAAGAAGGUUUUCGGAUUGUAAACUCCUGUCGUUAGGGACGAUAAUGACGGUACCUAACAAGAAAGCACCGGCUAACUACGUGCCAGCAGCCGCGGUAAAACGUAGGGUGCAAGCGUUGUCCGGAAUUACUGGGUGUAAAGGGAGCGCAGGCGGACCGGCAAGUUGGAAGUGAAAACUAUGGGCUCAACCCAUAAAUUGCUUUCAAAACUGCUGGCCUUGAGUAGUGCAGAGGUAGGUGGAAUUCCCGGUGUAGCGGUGGAAUGCGUAGAUAUCGGGAGGAACACCAGUGGCGAAGGCGACCUACUGGGCACCAACUGACGCUGAGGCUCGAAAGCAUGGGUAGCAAACAGGAUUAGAUACCCUGGUAGUCCAUGCCGUAAACGAUGAUUACUAGGUGUUGGAGGAUUGACCCCUUCAGUGCCGCAGUUAACACAAUAAGUAAUCCACCUGGGGAGUACGACCGCAAGGUUGAAACUCAAAGGAAUUGACGGGGGCCCGCACAAGCAGUGGAGUAUGUGGUUUAAUUCGAAGCAACGCGAAGAACCUUACCAGGUCUUGACAUCCGAUGCAUAGUGCAGAGAUGCAUGAAGUCCUUCGGGACAUCGAGACAGGUGGUGCAUGGUUGUCGUCAGCUCGUGUCGUGAGAUGUUGGGUUAAGUCCCGCAACGAGCGCAACCCUUAUUGCCAGUUACUACGCAAGAGGACUCUGGCGAGACUGCCGUUGACAAAACGGAGGAAGGUGGGGAUGACGUCAAAUCAUCAUGCCCUUUAUGUCUUGGGCUACACACGUACUACAAUGGCUAUAACAAAGAGAAGCGAGACAGUGAUGUGGAGCAAAACUCAAAAAAAUAGUCUCAGUUCGGAUUGAAGGCUGAAAUUCGCCUUCAUGAAGCUGGAAUUGCUAGUAAUGGCAGGUCAGCAUACUGCCGUGAAUACGUUCCCGGGCCUUGUACACACCGCCCGUCACACCAUGAGAGUUGGGGAUACCCGAAGCCUGUGAGCCAACAGUUUACUGAGGCAGCAGUCGAAGGUAGAAUCAAUGAUUGGGGUG
rnacentral:rRNA from 1 species